rnacentral:rRNA from 1 species
CACGUAGGGUGCGAGCGUUGUCCGGAAUUAUUGGGCGUAAAGAGCUCGUAGGCGGUCUGUCGCGUCUGCUGUGAAAACUCAGGGCUUAACCCUGAGCUUGCAGUGGGUACGGGCAGACUAGAGUGCGGUAGGGGAGACUGGAAUUCCUGGUGUAGCGGUGAAAUGCGCAGAUAUCGGGAGGAACACCGGUGGCGAAGGCGGUUCUCUGGGCCUGACCUGACGCUGAGGAGCGAAAGCGUGGGGAGCGAACAGG